AUCUGGCCAGUAAAGCACUCUGAGUGUCAGGAGUGGCGAGUCUGUGCCAUACGCAAUGCGGGCACAUCGCAGCUCGAUCUUGAUCCUAUUCCUAACGUGACCUUCAUCUUCAGAUCUCCAGGAGUGCCCUGGGUGUUACACCCAGCAUCCUUCCCUGGAACAGGCUAAAUACUGGCAUUGCUUGCUUGCCCCUCCUAUUCCUUGGCUUUGCCCAGGGAGAACCAGGCUAGGCAACUCUGCAAAAUGCUGCUAACUUCUUCUGUGUGUGUGUUUGAUUUCUAUACCCAGGAAACCUGCUAUGGGUCUAGGAGUUCAUAACGCAUCUGCAACAAAACAAGAGGUGCUCUGCAGCCUGGCGUUGGGAAGGAGCUGAUUGCCUUUGAGACCCAGCAGGCAGCCAAAUGGAGCACAAGGCAUUCAGCAAGUCCCAAGCAGAGGUAGCCUCUCCCUGGAGACACUGUUAGAGGCCUCCAUAUCUUUCAGAGAGGCUGACACAUUUUCCUAACGUACGGGUCCAGGGAUGCUGGACUAUCUAGCUGCAGCGAUGGAAAGCUGGCUCAGCUUGGCCACCACGCAAGUUUGUGCAGGGGAAUCACAAGCCAAAAGACGAAGGAGCUGUUGGGAGCAAAACACUACGGAUAAGCCCCACACCUCUCCUCUGCAGGGCUUCACGUGUGCUUCCGCCUGGCACAAAGGCAGGCCAACUGAAACCUGAGGACACACGAGUCUUUUGACAGUGAAUUACCUCUGUGUUUCUGAAACUGAGCUGUGGGGCGGUGGCAGGGGAGGAGCUGGGUUCAGAAAUGUGGCCUUUCUCGCUCUGCUCUCCUGCUUUCCAUUGCCCGGCCCAUAUCUCCGCUGUGCCACCCACUGCCCACCUUCCCUGCCUCCACAGCUUCUCCUUCCCUUUGGCUCCAGAGAUGUAACCUCAAUGCCUAUGUCACCAAUCGCGUAGCUUUAAAGCCAACCGUUUUCC
rnacentral:lncRNA from 7 species